rnacentral:lncRNA from 1 species
UGCUGCCAUAUACUUGACUUCAAUAUCAAGUUUUAUAACUGUGGUUCUUAAAUAAAAUUCAAAUGAGAAAUUGGAUAAAAAUCAAAUAAUUAGAAAUAUAUAAAAAGAUCUUAUAUUCUUGUACAAGAUUCAAUAAGAAACAAUUUUUUUAGCUAGAAUGAUUCAAAAAACUAUUUCAAUGUUGACAUAUUUUAAAAAGAAGUACGUAUUAUAUAUGAAUUGUAAUAAAUAAUGAUAUGUGGUUUAUAUAGCAAAUAAAUUAUUCUUUUAUAGCUAUCAAAUGACCUCAAGUUGAAAAGAAUCUAUGAGGUAAUUGUGGAGCUCUGAUCAAUCUAAUUUAAAAUAAUAUUAAAAUAUUUUUUUGAAUGUGGUAUCAAAUUACAUAUCAGUACUUUGUAGGACUUCUUUUGGCCUUAAUAACUGCUCUCAACCUCCUAAGCAUCUUUCUAUUAACUUUUGGUAUAAAAAAACUUCAAUAUUAUUCUACUCUAUAGUUAUUCUUUUAUAUAAUUUCCAAACUCCCUUUGGUUUUAUCUUCCAAGUAUUGAGCUAAUAUUUGAGGUGAUCUAAAAGAUAUUCAGUGGAUUUAUGAUCAAGAGACUUGGCAGACCAAUCCAUUAUUUUAAUCCCAUGAUAAUCAAAUGACUUCCAUGCUAGUUUUGAAUUAUGCUUGGGAUUCUUAUCUUGUUGAAAAAUCACCUCUUU